UACAGAGGUCCCGAGCGUUUGUUCGGAUUCAUUGGGCGUAAAGGGUGCGUAGGCGGUCUGCUAAGUUUGAUGUGAAAUCCCGGGGCUCAACCCUGGAAUGGCAUUGAAUACUGGCGGACUAGAGUACCGGAGAGGAAACUGGAAUUUACGGUGUAGCAGUGAAAUGCGUAGAGAUCGUAAGGAAGACCAGUGGCGAAGGCGAGUUUCUGGACGGUAACUGACGCUGAGGCACGAAGGCCAGGGAGCAAACGGG
rnacentral:rRNA from 1 species